rnacentral:rRNA from 1 species
UACGUAGGGUGCAAGCGUUAAUCGGAAUUACUGGGCGUAAAGCGUGCGCAGGCGGUUGUGCAAGACAGAUGUGAAAUCCCCGGGCUUAACCUGGGAAUUGCAUUUGUGACUGCACGGCUAGAGUGUGUCAGAGGGGGGUAGAAUUCCACGUGUAGCAGUGAAAUGCGUAGAUAUGUGGAGGAAUACCGAUGGCGGAGGCAGCCCCCUGGGAUAACACUGACGCUCAUGCACGAAAGCGUGGGGAGCAAACAGG